GUACACGCUGGUGACUAGCAUAUCAAUAAGCGGAGGAAAAGAAACUAACAAGGAUUCCCCUAGUAACGGCGAGUGAAGCGGGAAGAGCUCAAAUUUGAAAUCUUAAAGGGUUUCCCUUUACGAAUUGUAGUUUAAAGAAGUGUUUUCUGUUGAGGUUUUGGUAAAAGUUCUUUGGAAUAGGACAUCAUAGAGGGUGAGAAUCCCGUAUUUGACCUUUACUUUCAACUUUGUGAUACACUUUCAAAGAGUCGGAUUGUUUGGGAAUGCAGUCCAAAAUGGGUGGUAAAUUUCAUCUAAAGCUAAAUAUUGACGAGAGACCGAUAGCGAACAAGUACCGUGAGGGAAAGAUGAAAAGAACUUUGAAAAGAGAGUUAAACAGUACGUGAAAUUGUCAAAAGGGAAGCGUUUGACACCAGUGUUGUUUUUCUGAAAAUCAAUUAAAGAACUGUUUAUGCUAAGCUGUUUAGACUUUAUCAGCUAUCUGUUUAGUUUUGAGCUUUUCUUUAAUGCACUUUUCAGUUAACAAGUCAACAUCAAUUUCUUUUGCUGUAAAAAAGCUUGAGGAAGGUGGCUUGAGAUUCGUCUUAAGUGUUUAUAGCCUCUUGCCUAUGCAGUCGGAGAGAUUGAGGUCUGCAGCGUAGAUCCUUCGGGGCUAAAUGCAUUUGUGCUAAGUUAUAGCAUUUUAUAGACAACUUGUUGACUAUGAUUUGUCUUGUAGCUUACUCGCUUAUGUUAUUUUACCUACGCUUAGGAUGUUGACUGAUAUGUAGUCGUA
rnacentral:rRNA from 1 species